UGGGGAAUAUUGCACAAUGGGCGCAAGCCUGAUGCAGCCAUGCCGCGUGUGUGAAGAAGGCCUUCGGGUUGUAAAGCACUUUCAGCGGGGAGGAAGGCGUUAAGGUUAAUAACCUUGGCGAUUGACGUUACCCGCAGAAGAAGCACCGGCUAACUCCGUGCCAGCAGCCGCGGUAAUACGGAGGGUGCAAGCGUUAAUCGGAAUUACUGGGCGUAAAGCGCACGCAAGCGGUCUGUCAAGUCGGAUGUGAAAUCCCCGGGCUCAACCUGGGAACUGCAUUCGAAACUGGCAGGCUAGAGUCUUGUAGAGGGGGGUAGAAUUCCAGGUGUAGCGGUGAAAUGCGUAGAGAUCUGGAGGAAUACCGGUGGCGAAGGCGGCCCCCUGGACAAAGACUGACGCUCAGGUGCGAAAGCGUGGGGAGCAAACAGG
rnacentral:rRNA from 1 species